UACGGGGGAUGCAAGCGUUAUCCGGAAUCAUUGGGCGUAAAGCGCCUGUAGGUGGUUUAGUAAGUCUGUUGUUAAAGACUAGGGCUUAACCCUAGAAAAGCGAUGGAAACUACUAGACUAGAGUAUGGCAGGGGUAGAGGGAAUUUCUAGUGUAGCGGUGAAAUGCGUAGAUAUUAGAAAGAACACCGGUGGCGAAAGCGCUCUACUGGACCAUUACUGACACUCAGAGGCGAAAGCUAGGGUAGCAAAAGGGAUUAGAUACCCCUGUAGUCCUGGCCGUAAACGAUGAACACUAGGUGUCGGGGGAUCGCCCCGGUGUCGUAGCCAACGCGUUAAGUGUUCCGCCUGGGGAGUACGCACGCAAGUGUG
rnacentral:rRNA from 1 species